GUUUUGUAUGCUGUCUGUAUGAAGCUUUUCUCUUCUUUGCUUCAGGAGGAAUCCCAGGUACCUGGAUCUUGUUUCCUUAUCUAAGGGACCAAUAGAAACCCCUGAACACGUCUCACAAUCCAGAGUCGGUUCAUCCCUUACUUGGAAGAAAGGGGAAAUGGUACACCUCUGGCUACAAACCUAUGCGUACUUACUUGGAAGUAAAGGCCAUUAAUGGAUCUUAUUCCUGAGUGAAAACCAUAGGAGCAGACUGCUGCUGCUUCUCCAUUCCUGUGUGAUGUGCAAACUGACUCUUAAGGCUUGAGGAGAAAAGCUGCUUGCAUCCUGAGAGUUGCCCUCGCUGGUCUGUGUUUGCUGUGUGUGUCAGGUUAAACUGCAGGCUUUGGGGGGAGGGGGCUGUCCGGGCCAGUGUCAUGACAAAGGCAGCAAACUGACCGCUAUUGAAAGCCCUAAACAACUCAGGCCCCAAAUACCUGAAAGCACCCCUCUUUCUCUACCCACUUCCUCAGCAGAGGGGGGCCCUCUAUAGUCUUACCACCCAUCAGAACUUCAGGGGUGGUGGUGGCCCGAGAGAGCGCAGCCCCUAAACGGUGGAACUCCCCACAGAGGUUCAUCUGGCAUCUUCCUUAUACAUCUUUCGGGAAAUGCCGAAGAUAUACCUCUUUACCCCAGCUUUUGACACCUAAGAUUACAUUUUUAGGACCCACCCUAUUGUUGUGAUUGUAAGUUGUUCCAAGCUGUUUGCAAUAUUGUGUUUUAAUUGUUGUAACUUGCCUUGGGGCCCUAGGGUGAAGGGUGGGUAGUUAAUUUAAUAAUAAUACUUUGUGUGUUUUUGUUGCAUUUUCACUGUUGUGGAGGGGAAAUGGCUCUGUGCAGAAACAUCUUGGCUUGGGAGGGAUGGGGAUGAUUUGCCGCUCCACCUCAGGGAACGAAAUGCCUUGGGCUGACCAGCCCUGU